GGGGAAUGCCUAGGCUCUCAGAGGCGAUGAAGGACGUGAUAAGCUGCGAAAAGUUGCGGGGAUCUGCACACAAGAAUUGAUCCGCAAAUAUCCGAAUGGGGCAACCUGGCAUAUUGAAGAUAUGUUAUCCGCAAGGAGGCGAACCCGGAGAACUGAAACAUCUAAGUACCCGGAGGAAAGGAAAUCAAUUGAUACUCCCCUAGUAGCGGCGAGCGAACGGGGAGGAGCCGACUGAUUAUAAUUUAGAGGAAUGACUUGGAAAGGUCAAUCGUAGAGGGUGAUAAUCCCGUACUCGAAAGGUUAUAAGAAGCAUAUUAAGUAGGGCGGAACACGAGAAAUUCUGUCUGAAGAUGGGGGGACCAUCCUCCAAGGCUAAAUACUCGUGAUCGACCGAUAGUGAACCAGUACCGUGAGGGAAAGGU
rnacentral:rRNA from 1 species